GUGAAUCAUCGAAUCUUUGAACGCACAUUGCGCCCCGCGGCACUCCGCGGGGCAUGCCUGUCCGAGCGUCGUCUCAGCCCUCAAGCGCGGCUUGGUGUUGGGCGCGGCCCGUGGUGGCCGGCCCCAAAGGCAGCGGCGGCGCCCCCGGCCCUGAGCGUAGUAUACGUCCCUCGCUCCAGCGCCCGGCGGCGGCCAGCCGGAAACCGACCACAGUGGUUGACCUCGGCUCAGGUAGGGAUACCCGCUGAACUUAAGCAUAUCAAUAAGCGGAGGA
rnacentral:misc_RNA from 1 species